GGACCAUGUACCAAGAAAAAAGAAAAAAAAAGAAAGAACACUUAGGUUCUGUCUCUUCUUCCUCUAUCAUUCUGUUAUGAAGUGUGGCAGUAAACAUCCUUGAACGUGUCUACUUGUGCACGUAUGAGUUCAAGGGUAGGAGCUGAGAAGUGUCAUUGUCCCAUGUUGAAUGGGUGGAGUACGUUAUGUGCAUUUCACAUUUUAGUAGAUGCUGUCACGGUGCCCUACAAGGUGACUGAACCAACUCAUAUUUCUCCUGCAGUGGGACAGAAUCUGUCUCCCCACUUUCAUCAGUCAGUGCUGUCUCUCUAGGGCUGGAUGGUGCGGCUACCUUGUUCACGAAACGUGGGGGAGUCAGUGACAGGCAGGACAGCACAGUGGGGUCACGUGCUCUAGGUCGGCCGCCAGCUGCCUGUGUGAGCUGAGGAAACCCCUGCCCUCUCUGAGCCACAGUUUUCUCGUCUGGACAAUGGAGAUCAUAAGUUUUGUACUUUGCCAGGCUCUUGUGUGGAUGAAAUGAGCCCGUGUGUGCCAAGACCUCAUCAUGGGGCUGGCCCAGGACCGAUGCACAGCACGUGGACUCCCGCCUAUUUGCUGUCUGCAGAGCCCUCAGAUGCCUUCUUUUCCAGAUCAGGCCAAGGAGCGGUGAGGACUAAGCUCUGAUUUUUUUAAUCUUGCCCAAAUUCCUUUCUAAGGGGUCUGGGAAGUCAUGCCCUACAAACCAUAAAUUCUCAUCAGAUAGGUUUUAUUUAACGCUGUAUAUCGUGACUUACUUUCCAAUCUGACUCUGGCAUAACAAGGGAAAAAGUCAACAUCUUUUACUCCAAAAUAUAUUUCCUUGCCAUGAAAUUCCUUCCUUGAAAUGCCUUGGAAUCGCCCUGCAAAGUCUCUUGUGGGAAAAAUCCACAUUCUAUAGAGAAUCCCCUUCCCCUUUGUUUUCCUUCCUUCCUUUCCAGAUCCAGGAGAAAAUCAGCUAAGAGCCAGGCACCCUUUUAAGUCCGAUAAGAAACAUUUUACAACCUGCUCUCUCUGAAGUCUGCUGUCUGAGAGCUUCCUCUGCACAAUAAAACUUGAUCUCCACAAUCUUUUAUCUUAACCUCAACAUUUCCUUUCUAUUAAUCCCAGGUCUUCAGAUAAACUCAACCAAUGGUUGACGAGAAAAUGUUUAAAUUUACCUAUAGCCUGGAGGCCCCCCACCCUUUGAGUUGUCACGCCUUUCUGAACCAAACCAAUGUAUUUCUUAAAUGUAUUUGAUUGAUGUCUCAUGUCUCCCGAAAAUAUAUAAAACCAAGCUUUAUCCCAACCACCUGGAGCACAUGUUCUCAGGACCUCCUGAGGUUUGUGUCACGGGCCAUGGUUACUCAUAUUUGGCUCAGAAUGAAUCUCUUGGCUGGGUGCAGUGGCUCACACUUGUAAUCCCAGCACUUUGGGAGGCUGAGGUGGGCGGAUCAUGAGGUUAGGAGAUUGAGACCAUACUGGCCAACAUGGUGAAAAUAAAAAUACAAAAAUUAGCUGGGCGUGGUGGCGGGCGCCUGUGGUCCCAGCUAUGCGGGAGGCUGAGGCAUGAGAAUCACUUGAACCUGGGAGGCAGAGGUUGCAGUGAACUGAGAUCGCACCACUGCACUCCAGCCUGGCGACAGAGAGAGACUCCAUUUUAAAACAAACAAACAAACAAACAAACAAAAAACUCUUAAAAUAUUUUACAGAGUUUGACUCUUUUGUCAACAGGGAGUAGCACAGUUCCUCCCCUUUUAACUUCUGUCAACCACAAUGAUUAACAUGGCAAUCAGACCAGAGCUUUCACCACGGGAUCACUGCCUGAAGAAACAAGGCUAAAUGGAAGCAAGCAUAUGGAUUAAAACUGAAAAUGGGCCGGGCAUGGUGGCUCAUGCCGAUAAUCCCAGCACUUUGGGAGGCUGAGGCGAGAGGUUCACUUGAGCCCAGGAGUUACCAGCCUGGGCAACACGGCAAAACCCUGUUUCUUCAAAAACUACAGAAAGUAGCCAAGCAUGAUGGCGCAUGCCUGUAGUCCCAGCUACUUGGGAGGCUGAGGUGGGAGGAUGGAUUGAACUGGGGAGGUCGAGAGAGGAAGCAGUAAGCCGAGAUCACACCACUGCACUGCAGCCUGGGUGACAGAGCAAGACCCUGUCUCAAAGAAAAAAAAAAAACUGAAAAUGGGGCACUUCUAUACAUAUGUAUUUUUU
rnacentral:lncRNA from 1 species